CAGCCGCCGCGGGAAUACGUAGGUGGCAAGCGUUGUCCGGAAUUAUUGGGCGUAAAGCGCGCGCGGGCGGAUCAGUUAGUCUGUCUUAAAAGUUCGGGGCUUAACCCCGUGAGGGGAUGGAAACUGCCAAUCUAGAGUAUCGGAGAGGAAAGUGGAAUUCCUAGUGUAGCGGUGAAAUGCGUAGAUAUUAGGAAGAACACCAGUGGCGAAGGCGACUUUCUGGACGAGAACUGACGCUGAGGCGCGAAAGCCAGGGGAGCGAACGGGAUUAGAUACCCCCGUAGUCCCUGUCUCUUAUACA
rnacentral:rRNA from 1 species